rnacentral:lncRNA from 1 species
UGAAUUUUUAUUGUGGAAGAGAAUCCUGUUGCCUGUUACUAGCAAAAUCAUAUAAUUAGCUACAUGAGUGGAAUUAUAACGGGUAAGUUACUGUCAGGAAAAAGAAAAGAGCUUUUGUAAAUCAAUCACCGAACGAAAGAUACUCCAGAUUGUGACAUCACUUAGACUUCCUGCUAAAAGGAGAGAGAGGAAACAACUGCAAAUUUGGCAAAAACCUUCACAUAGAUUGUGAUAUUCAGGCACAUCAGGUUAACAAAAUGGGAUGAUGGUGUCAGCCAACAGCACCUGCUCACUGUCAUGCUGCGUGCAGCCUCCUGUCUGUGCCCACGAGGUCUGAGGAGGCUGAAGAACUGGGACAAAACCCUUGCUCAACAGGAACUGCUGUUAGCUCUCAUGAGAAGACCUUCAGCUAGAAGAGGAUGAGACAGGGAAUAAGAAGGAGCAGCACAAAAAGGACAAAAAUCCAUCUGCUGUUCUAGAAAAGAUGAUAAAAGAAAAUCAAAUUCUAAGAAAAGAAGAUGCACCAUUGAAACAGAUGGUCCUGGCAGCAUUCAGUUUGGGGCAUUGUCAGAUAGAUGCCCAAGGAAGGCAAUGGGAAGUCUGUGCCUCCAGCGCGCUGAUGGAAGGAGCAGGUUUCAUUUGUCUGGUGUUCUGGCCCCUUGAAGUAGGGUCAUGA